AAGCCAGACUCCUACGGGAGGCAGCAGUGGGGGAUAUUGCACAAUGGGGGAAACCCUGAUGCAGCGACGCCGCGUGGGUGAAGAAGCGCCUCGGCGCGUAAAGCCCUGUCAGCAGGGAAGAAAAUGACGGUACCUGAAGAAGAAGCCCCGGCUAACUACGUGCCAGCAGCCGCGGUAAUACGUAGGGGGCAAGCGUUAUCCGGAUUUACUGGGUGUAAAGGGGGCGCAGACGGCGAUGCAAGCCAGGAGUGAAAGCCCGGGGCCCAACCCCGGGACUGCUCUUGGAACUGCGUGGCUGGAGUGCAGGAGGGGCAGGCGGAAUUCCUGGUGUAGCGGUGAAAUGCGUAGAUAUCAGGAGGAACACCGGUGGCGAAGGCGGCCUGCUGGACUGCAACUGACGUUGAGGCCCGAAAGCGUGGGGAGCAAACAGGAUUAGAUACCCAGUAGG
rnacentral:rRNA from 1 species